rnacentral:rRNA from 1 species
UACGGAGGAUCCGAGCGUUAUCCGGAUUUAUUGGGUUUAAAGCGCGCGCAGGCGGUCUUCCAAGUCAGUGGUGAAAGCCCGGAGCUCAACUCCGGAACUGCCAUUGAAACUGUGAGACUUGAGUAUGAGAGAGGUGAGUGGAAUUCCCAGUGUAGAGGUGAAAUUCGUAGAUAUUGGGAAGAACACCGGUGGCGAAGGCGGCUCACUGGCUCAUUACUGACGCUCAGGCGCGACAGCGUGGGGAUCAAACAGG